UGUCCUUGGGUCGACCCAACUUUUGCUUGGGUCGACUCAAACAUUCCUUGGGUCGACCCUCUCAGAAACACAGAAACUUUAUAAUUCAGCCUUCCUUCACUUGGGUCUACCCAACCUUUCUUUGGGUCGACUCAAAGUUCACUUGGGUCGACUCAACUUCUUCUUGGGUCGACCCUAACAGGGUUUCCAGAGAACCUUUUCUGUCUUCAUUUCUGUCUUGCCUUUGGGUCGACCCUCUCAGGGUUUGGGUCGACUCAAGCUUGGGUCGACUCAACUACUGUUUGGGUCGACCCUCUCAGUAAAUCCAGAGAACCAUUUUUCUGUCUUGUUUUGAGGAUCUUGAUCCUUGGGUCGACUCAUGCUUUCCUUGGGUCGACCCAACUCACUGUUCAUCUUUGCCAUUUUUGCAGAAGUGUGCCAAAUGUUUUCUUGAUGUGCCGGGGUCGACCCAAUCAUCCUUUGGGUCGACUCAAUCCACACUUUGCUGCAUCUCAAGGUUAGAUUCAUUCAAAUGAACAAUGAAAUGUAUCUAUAU
rnacentral:lncRNA from 1 species